rnacentral:ncRNA from 5 species
UUUUCCGUAGGUGAACCUGCGGAAGGAUCAUUA